rnacentral:rRNA from 1 species
AUUGAACGCUGGCGGCAUGCCUUACACAUGCAAGUCGAACGGUAACAGGCCGCAAGGUGCUGACGAGUGGCGAACGGGUGAGUAAUGCAUCGGAACGUGCCCAGUCGUGGGGGAUAACUGCUCGAAAGAGCAGCUAAUACCGCAUACGACCUGAGGGUGAAAGCGGGGGACCGAAAGGCCUCGCGCGAUUGGAGCGGCCGAUGUCGGAUUAGGGAGUUGGUGGGGUAAAGGCCUACCAGGCCGACGAUCUGUAGUUGGUCUGAGAGGACGACCAGCCACACUGGGACUGAGACACGGCCCAGACUCCUACGGGAGGCAGCAGUGGGGAAUUUUGGACAAUGGGGGCAACCCUGAUCCAGCAAUGCCGCGUGCAGGAAGAAGGCCUUCGGGUUGUAAACUGCUUUUGUCAGGGAAGAAAUCCUGUGGGUUAAUACCUCGUGGGGAUGACGGUACCUGAAGAAUAAGCACCGGCUAACUCCGUGCCAGCCGCCGCUGUAACAC